GAACUAAACCAGAAUAAGGAUGGAAGCAGGAAGUUCUCAUGUUCAGUUGCAUAUCUGACUGAGGGUUCUGAAAUGGAAACAAUAAAAAAUGCAUUGAGACUAACUUAUUGGGCCAAGAACAAGGUUACAUCUAGGAAGCUGGGCUUGAGAAUGAAAAUGAGAAGAAAAAAAGCAGAGACUUUGGUGAUUGAAGACUGUGAGCUUCAGAACAAGACCAUGUAACAGGUGCCCAAACUACAGUAAGGGAAAGAAGCCAGGAGGGGAACUGAG